UACAGAGGCCUCGAGCGUUAGGCGGAAUCACUGGGCUUAAAGCGCGUGUAGGCGGCUCGUUAAGUACCUUGUGAAAUCCCACGGCUCAACCGUGGAACUGCUGGGUAUACUGGCGGUCUUGGGCCAUCUAGGGGGCGGCGGAACAAGCGGUGGAGCGGUGAAAUGCGUAGAUAUCGCUUGGAACGCCAAAGGUGAAGACAGGCGACUGGAGAUGUGCCGACGCUGAGACGCGAAAGCCAGGGGAGCGAACGGG
rnacentral:rRNA from 1 species